rnacentral:rRNA from 1 species
AUUGAACGCUGGCGGCAGGCCUAACACAUGCAAGUCGAGCGGAUGAAGGGAGCUUGCUCCUGGCUUCAGCGGCGGACGGGCGAGUAAUGCCUAGGAAUCUGCCCUGCAGUGGGGGCUAACGUCCGGACACGGGCGCGAAUACCGCAUACGUCCAGAGGGAGAAAGUGGGGGAUCUUCGGACCUCACGCGACCAGAUGAGCCUAGGUCGGAUUAGCUAGUUGGUGGGGUAAGGGCCUACCAAGGCGACGAUCCGUAACUGGUCUGAGAGGAUGAUCAGUCACACUGGAACUGAGACACGGUCCAGACUCCUACGGGAGGCAGCAGUAGGGAAUAUUGGACAAAGGGCGAAAGCCUGAUCCAGCCACGCCGCGUGUGUGAAGAAGGUCUUCGGAUUGUAAAGCACUUUAAGUUGGGAGGAAGAGCAGUAAGUUAAUACCUUGCUGUUUUGACGUUACCAACAGAGUAAGCACCGGCUAACUUCGUG